rnacentral:tRNA from 1 species
CCCCCGACAUCAAUGAAUGGAUUUUCAAGGGGUAAAAAAGGAGAGCUUAAUAAGAUUAGUUAAUUAAGAAG